UUUGACACAUUGUUUCUUGUAACACCCCGACAACUUACAAGAACUAUUGACUGCCCCCACACAUCACCACGAGACUUUCCAGUGUCCUUUGUCCUCACUCGCACACUUUUCGGGAAAACUUCCCGGAAGAUCACCAAUCCCAGAAUUUCUCCAGGCUAAGCACGCUUAACCAUGGAGUUCUUAUGGGUUAGGCUUCCGAAAAGUAAAUGCAUUUUUGGUGAUAUGGGUAACCAAAUCAAUUCCUCUAAGUUAUCCUUCAACUUUAUAGUCUCAUACCUAUAUAGUCUUCAAAUCCCUCUCAUUCCGGUGUAUGUUCGAUUCUUCCAUGUGUCCCUUCCACUGGAAGCCUGCCAGGAGCCGCUCCUUGUCUGUGCCCCCUACACCAUGCCUCUUGCACCAGCGAUCACUCCCCGUCCUCGUCAGUGUCCGGGUGUCACAUUUCUCACUUCCUGUUAUAAAAAUCAUGUCAAAUGAGUGUAGGUAUGUCAAUCUACCACUACCCUUCAUGAAAUGAGAUUUACAAUGUGUUAUUAUGCUUGUGAGUUGGAAAAAAAUAAUAAUAGAAUGACACAUGUGACAUCCCCAUUAUAUACGUCAUGCAUAUAAAAUAAGACGUCACCACAUACUAUACUAGAAAGCAGUUAGAGUAAUUAAAGUAUGAGGAUUAAAGUCAUCCACAAUUUGAGUAAGACUUUGAAACUUAAAGUGCUAGAGUAUCUCAAAAUGACAUAAAUUUAAAAGUGUUCCAAAAGGGCUCAACAGGCCUAGAAAUCAUAAAGAGUCUAAGCAACAACAUCUUCAUUUCCUUCCAAGACGUUCUCUAGGGAGACCUCAUUCUCCUCUGCUCACAUCCAAAAUGGAUGAUCAUCGCAACCGGAAAGCACACACAAACAUGGCACAACACAAGCAAUGCAAGGGUGAGCUAAUUAUAUAUAUAAAAAAAAAACAUGUAUCAGAUUAAACAUAUAAUCAUACAAGAGUGAACUUAAAUCAAAAUAGUAAGAAAUACAACAUAAGCAAUAUUCAUUCUAGACUUGACUCGUCCGGACAUUAAAAUGAUAGUUGGACUAUGGCGAGUCUUGCACCCGUGGUGACUUAUGAAACUUGGGUUCCCUACCCUGCCACACUCACGAGGUUAGUCCGUUCCGCGCCUUGAGGCAUACUGGGAGCCCCCAAGACUAAGGACCUCCUGCUACUUCUCACCACAUGGUUCAACCUCUCUAAGUGAGUUUGAUUGACCAUUGAAGCGUCAGAAUGACUCCCAAGGUUGAGCCCCUACUUUCAUUUUAAAACACUAAGAAUCUCACCAAGAGAUUCGACACUUUGAAUCACACUUACUAACUUGAAUUAUAAUGUACUUUGAAACAUACCAUGAACAACCUGGAAAUCAUACCUCUUUACUUUCGAACUCCUAUACUUUGGAUUAUAAUCAACACAGAUGUUAAAGUUCUAAAAUUCAAAGUAAUUAUUUAAUCAAAAGAAUAAGUUAACCAAUACUUCGUAGACUUCAACCCUGAAGUGUAACAUUAUUCAUAAGAAAACCCAAGAAGGCAAUACAAUUACUCCUCUUCUAUUCCACUACCUAUGCAACUUUUCACGUAAAACUCCCUUAAACAAAAGAUAUACCCUUCUCAAUCUACCAUCGAUGGGACCUAUAAGUAGUAAUACAAAUCUCUACACUUUUGAAAAUAUCAAACCAAGAAAAUACUGGAACUUCUCCCCUGCACCUUCACUUUUAAUUUCCUUAAAAUCAAAUGAUCUCAUCUAUUAAAAUAUUCAAAAUUCCAAUCCAAAUAAAAAGUUUCUCUCCUGGACGUAACCUUUCCUAUAUAAAAUAAUAGAUAAAAAAACUAAAACAUGUUUAUAUUAAAUCCACGACCAUUCCUUUAUUUAAUUAUAUAUUUUUUUCUAACUUAUAAACUCACCAACUCUGUAACCAAACUUCACUCAAAAUAAAAUUUUAUUCUCUUUUCUAUACUAUAUUAUAUUAAUAGAAAUUAAAAUCACACACAAUUUCAGCUUCUAAUUAUAUAUAUAUAUAUAUAUAUAUAUAUAUAUAUAUAUAUAUAUAUAUAUAUAUAUAUAUAUAUAUAUANAUAAUAAAUAUAACUUAAUCCUGUUAAGUUUCGAUACAUAUAUAUUAUUAUAUAAUAUAUGUAAUAUAAUCCCUUAUAUAGAAGUUAUAUAUAUUAUAUAAUAUACAAAAGAAUGUAAAAGAUAUAUUAAUGUUAAGUUUCUAAACAGUCAUAUAAAAGUUAUAUAUAUUAUUAUACAAUAUGCAAUGGUAAGUAAAAGAUAUAUAUUUAUAUUCUAUACAAAGAUCAGAAAACCAAAUGAAUAUAGUAUAAUAUAUUAUUUAUAUCAAUCUUGAUAUUAAAAGGAAACCUAACAAAUCUAAAAACUCAUCAUCCUAUUUCCUCUUCUGUUACCCAAUUUCUCUCACAUCUUAUAUAAUCAAUUUAAUAACAUUACAUUCAAUUUCUGUUAGCAACUCAAUUCAAAGCAGAUAAGAUUCAUCACCAUGCCAAUUCACAGAUUUAUACUGGCAUCCAGUAAAAUUAACAAUUGCAGAGCAGCUUCACAAAUACAUCAGUUCAACAUUCAACAUGUAAUUAUUUUAUAAAAUAAAUUCCUAAAAAAAAUAAUCAACUCCCCUUACCUCUAGGUUGUCCCGUACAGUCUAUAGAAAACACCCUAAUAGUGACCCACACGGCGAUGCACUUACAGAACCUACAAAUCACUAAAUUGGUGAUGGAGAACAACUCUUAGGACUAAAACACAAUAGAAAUCAGAAAAGGGGGUUGUAACUGCUUUAAAUCAGUAAAACCCAAAUCCUAGGUUUCGAAAAUGGCGGAGGAAACAGGGAAGCAACUUACCAGAAGGAGACAUAGAAAGUAAUUGGUUCGAAGUGAAGUCCUUGACGCCAGGAACGGUUUGGCAGCACCCAAGUAAGAUUUGAACGGUUCAAUGGAGAAGAGUAAAGCUAGAGAGAAGGCAGAGGAUUUGAAGAACCUAGUUUGAGAGAGAAGGGAA
rnacentral:lncRNA from 1 species